GCUACAUUUACACAACUACCCCCAUCAAUAAUCAUGCUACACAAUUUUCCAUUCACUAGACAUCUAGAAUGAAAAAUUUUCUCUCUUUGCAACUUAACCCCCUCUUUAUCAUUCCUUACUUGCACAUUCAAAGCACGUCUAGAAACCAACAAUCUACCUUCCAUAGGCGUUUCCCCAUCACUACAAUCCUCCAAAGGAGGCAUUUCAUCCUCCACAUCAUUCUCAUCAUCCGUUUCAACAUCAUCACCGCACAUCACCAUUACCCUUUUAUUUGGGCAUUGAGAUGUAAUAUAACCAAAACUCAAGCAUCUAAAACACUUGAUAUCUCUAUUCCUAGGAGUUUGGGAGUUAGAAAUACCUUUGUUUUA
rnacentral:lncRNA from 1 species